rnacentral:lncRNA from 1 species
UGAAUUAGUCUAACUGUUUUUGAUAAAGUAACUUCUAGUUCAUACAACUAUUUUUAAUAAAGUAGCAUCUAUCAGGCUUGAGGUUUAAAUUCAACACAUACAACAUUUCUAAAAUAGCAUAUAACAAGUUUGGCCAAAAUAACUGAAUGUCGGAUAGAACUCAGAAAAAAAAACGAUUACACUCCAAUUGCGUAAUGAUCUCAAAUGCCAAUUCAUAUUCUAGAGUUUCAACGUUACCAAUUACCUUGCUCAAGUUCGGCAAAAAUCCAAGCAGUUAUGCGUUCUAUCUCAAGAAACCGAAUAGCAUAGAAUUAUAUGUCUCAAUAUUGAAUCGUGGAAAGAAAUACUGAACGAAUCAACGCUUUAAGCUCUUUACAGAAAAAAAUAUAGACAAGAUCGAAAAAUUCAUCAUAAUUGUUAAAUGCUUCUUUCCCCAAAAUAGCUAAAUUAAACAGUAGCAAACCUGGGGGAGAAAUGAGAUAAAAGCGCAGGAAAGCUGCACCGGAUAACAGUUUGAAUGGAAAGAAAAAAAAGCGAACCGCGUUUCAUUUUUCUUUAAUCGAAACAGCAGAUCUAAGGGCACAUGAAAAUAUCAGGAAUAAAAAGCUCGACUUUAUUUAAACACCAGACAAUUUUAAACGAAAGAUAAACAUUCAAAUGGACGAUCUGGAUCGAGAAACGAACCUCUUUUUGAAUUUGUAGGAUAAUGAAAGAAAAUGAUGAAGCAGCAGAUGAUUUAGUUUGAGAAAGAUGACAGGGUAGUGUUGGAGAAUUUGCCGCCUUUUUUCUCUUUCUCGGCUCCUUUCCCUCCUUAAAUUUGAAGGCCCCUUCGUUUUUUCAGCCCCUGUGAUGCUCGGCUGGCGCUGGGCUCCUGAUCGGACUUAGCGGCCUGUAUUUCACUGGCUUAUUGAUCCAAG